ACGGGGAGCAGCAGGCGCGAAAACUUUACAAUGCGGGAAACCGUGAUAAGGGAACUCCGAGUGCCCGUAAAAUCGGGCUGUCCAUCUGUUUAAAUAACAGGUGAAGAAAGGGCCGGGCAAGACCGGUGCCAGCCGCCGCGGUAAUACCGGCGGCUCGAGUGGUGGCCACUAUUACUGGGCUUAAAGCGUUCGUAGCUGGUUUGUUAAGUCUCUGGGGAAAUCUGCCGGCUCAACCGGCAGGCGUUCCAGGGAUACUGGCAGACUAGGGACCGGGAGAGGUGAGGGGUACUCCAGGGGUAGGAGUGAAAUCCUGUAAUCCUUGGGGGACCACCUGUGGCGAAGGCGCCUCACCAGAACGGCUCCGACAGUGAGGGACGAAAGCUGGGGGAGCAAACCGGAUUAGAUACCCGGGUAGUCCCAGCCGUAAACGAUGCGCGUUAGGUGUAUCGGUGACCACGAGUCACCGAGGUGCCGAAGAGAAAUCGUGAAACGUGCCGCCUGGGAAGUACGGUCGCAAGGCUGAAACUUAAAGGAAUUGGCGGGGGAGCAC
rnacentral:rRNA from 1 species